rnacentral:lncRNA from 1 species
CUGAUUUCUGCACACUGUCCUUUGACCUCCACACGUGCGCAGCAUGUGGGCAUACAAAUAAAUGCAAUUGUAAAUUUUUUUAAACAAGUAGUCAGAUAAAAGGGUGAGGCACUGUUAGACAACAGAGAGUGGGUACACUCUAAGAAAAUGCAAAAUGGUUUAGUUUUCUUAAAAAAAAAAACAAAACAAAAAAAACUGGCGUUAAGUCUAGUCUCAGGAAAUUACCAACUUUUCCUUACAUGAACACCUAAGGUUAAGUCAUGCGGGAUAGCGGGCAAGUUUUUCUGUAUGGGGCUAGCCCCUUAAAAUACCCUUAUCGCAUAAACAAAGUACCCUCGCACAUUUCCACUGGGGGAAAUCCCACUUCCCGAGAACCCUGGCAAAGACCUACAGGCUUUCGCUGAGAAUUAGUGCCCCAAGGUCCAAGCAUCAACAUGUCCAAGAAACAGAUGAACUUAACACAAAAUGGCCAGGAAGAAGUUAGCUUAGAUUUACGUCAUUUACUGUAUCUACUUCCUCUUUCUGAAGCCAGAACCAUCAGUUGCUCCAAACUGAACUUGGAAAGCUUGCUCUCCUUCGACAUUUAUUUAGGAUCACAGAGUGAUUCCAAUUUGAAAAAUUCUCAGAUUCAAAUCUGGCUAAUUGACGAGACUAGGGAGUUUUCACACAGCUCUGGGGCUCUCGCUUCCUCAAAACAAGAAUUAAAGCACUCUUUCACAUGUGGUCAGCACAGGAAGGGGGAGCCAUUUACUGUAAAUGCUUCUCUGAUGCAAUCCAACCACCUCUUUCAAAGACAGAAUUCAUCCAAGAAGCCUUAGUCACUUCUAGAAAAAUGCCACUGCUCUGAAUGUACACACAGCAAACCACACGCCUAGAGACAAGAGAUGAGCUGGUUCGGCCAACAGAAAACAGAUCAACAGAUGGGGAGAGAGAUCUUGCCUUCAUCAGAUCCAGUGGUGUCGUUUCUGAGGUUGGCCUUUGAGAAGGAUGCCUGACAGACACGCUACCCUCAUUUACUGUUUCACAAACCAAGCGCAAGGAGAUUUCUCCUCUGCCUACCUGUGAAAGCACUUCCUAAACUGUGGGCCUCUGGUUUAGAACCGGGAACCUAGGCAUAAUUAGUAACUGAGCAACUAUGACUACUUAGUUAGCUAAAAACAUUUUAGAUGCAGGAAAAAAGAGGAAUACUGUAAUUUAAACCUUGAAACUGAAAGUACAACUCAGAGAGGGUGGAUUACACAUGAAGAGGGUGAGACAGGGAAACGCUGAGGAGCAGUUGGGUAGAAAAGCACAAGGAAAGCAGUUCUAAGCUCUUCAGAAAGGACACAUUUCCCUAAAACCCCAAAUCCACCAGACGAAACUAGGGGAGGAGGAUUCCCCCUGUUUCUGCUUACCCGGGACACCUUGAGUUCUUCUGGGGGCAGGAUGUGUGCCCUUGCUUUUCUGGAGGAGCCAGGGACGACUCGAGGCUGUGUUCUGCUGAAGACGGGAAUCCCCUUGAUGAGCGAAACCGCACAAGGUAAUAUAUGUGGUCUGAGCAAGCCAUUGGCUACAGGAGGCUGAGGCGUGUGCAAGUCUCAUUUGCUAGCCUCCGGGUAAGCUCCUCACAGCCCAUCAUCUCAGGAGAAGACGCAGGGUGCACUAUGCUCCAGCAGAGUCAAAACUAGACAGGGUUCGUUGUUUCCGUGGCACUCUCCCCGGCCCAGAGGAAACCACAGCCGACCACAGGAGAUCUGGCUCCUUCACCAGGCGAAAAAGAAUUAGGAUGUCGACACCGGCAAUUUACCAACGAAUCACACACCAAUGCCAGAGCUUGCUGUCUUUAUACAGACUGCCUGGGAGUCAGAUGGAGGUACAGGCAAGACCAACUUUCAACGUGUUUUUGAACUACCUGUGUCAAGACUGCCUCCGUGGAGACCGAGAGUGUGCUCUUCAGACAAGAAUUGGGGGUCACUCUCCUGUACUUAGAGGUGUGAGGGUCAUCUUUCCCGUCUAUGGAACUAAACAGUUGACCGCACACUCCUCUCCCCCUUUAUUACUUAGUCACGUCUCUUCCAUUCUUAGCAUCAGGACAACUCCAGGAGACAGAGAACUGGGGAAACAAGGCAGGCUGCAGAAAACGACGGGCGAACGUGAAGGCAAGCAGAGGAGAGUGAUAUGGAUGGAUGUAUCAUACUUUGGGCUUUCAAUCAAGAACUUUACAGCAUAAAGUGACUCUUUCUAAAGUAGCCCAUGGACUCGCCAACUCAGCUCUCUGACUCUGGCAAUGGGGGGGGGCACCUGAAUGCAUUCCCUGCACAGCUGGUAGCUGGUCUUGAGUACCUAACUACUUCCAGCACCCUGGGGACAUAAAGGAUUCUUUAAAACGAGAUCAAGAAACACAGACAUGUUUAAAAUGUCAUCACCUUCCUGUAAGUCAAAUUUUUUGUGUGUUUUGUGUGUGUGCCUGCAGGAGUUUGUGUGUACCAUGUGGGUACAGGUGUCUUCGGAGGCCAAAAGCGACCAUAGGUCCCCUAGGGAGUCAACGCUCUCUGCCACCGAGCCAGGGCUCCAGCCAGACUUUGUAGUUCUCAGCUUUGCCCCCUCUUGGUUUCUACAGGUCUACGGCUAUCUAAACACCUUGGAAUUUUCCAACAGCUCUCCUUCAUCUUAACCACUUUAUUUCAGUCCUGGGGAAAUACUGGGGAAAUCUCGUCUUUACAACACGGACUUAAGAAUUUUAUGAAAUGUGAAGUAUGAAAACUUUCUCCCCACCCCCUCCAAGAGUGUUUCAUUCCUCUGCAUGUUCCCAUACUCUCUGAAUGGGGAGCCCAACUGAGAAUACAUGAAUAGGUUCUUCAAAUGCCCUUUUUUGUGUCAGGAUCAUUAUCUGCUGGGACAUUCGGACACAAAUAGGAAGGAAGCUAACACUUAACUUUGUACUCUCUACUUAUGGAGCUCUUUUUGGUGUUGCCAGUAUUUUGCCUAAUAGUUAAAUUUGGCUGUGUCAGAACAGAGAUUCUUGAACUUCAUUUUAGCAUCGAAAUCCCUUUCAUUCCCCAAAUAGCAUCUCAGGUGAAGGCCCACUGCACCGUAUCAACAGCAGGAGAACACCCUUGGUUGCCGCAGUGCAACAGAAGACACCAGCCCUUCUGGCUUAUCCCUGUUAAUGCAUAUCACCCCUGAGGUGGUACAGCCAAACUCUUUUGAUACUUCUUUAAACUAUCAAUGUAUCCUCCGUAUGCCUUUAUGUCUCAGACUGAGGCAUGCCUAGUUUUUUUCUUUUAAUGCAGGUCAAAUCUCAGGUCCAAUCUCAGACAAAUACCCUACCUACUGCAUUGAACUUCAGAGCUCUGCCACACCUUUGACAGGCGCCAACCCAAACACUAGAACUAUCAUCUCCACCUGCACUCCUAGUCAGCCUUACCCCUAGCAUAAGUUUAAGAUCAUUUUAGAAACAAACUUUUGUCAAGACAUGUUUCAAAAUGUAUACCAACACCAUCUUGAUGCACGAGAGCUCAUUACAUCUCAACUCAGAUAUGUAUAUACUUAAUUUUUAUUUGCUAGUGAGUUAAUCUAUUAGGCCCUGUACUAUGUAAUUGUCUUUCUGUGAAGGAUAGGCCCUUUACACAAAAACAGACCCACAAGAUAUUGCCCAGGGAUGCCGAACUGUCUUCACUUGCAAAGCAUACACUGUGACCUCCACAACAACGAAAUCACCUGACAUCUUUUUAAGGAUGUGCCCUUGCUCUUAACCAGUGCAUGGCUGAGUGGGAGGCUGACUUACUACAAGCAUCAGGCUCAAGCACACACAUCUGAGAGUCAAAGGCAAAGGGGAACUUAAUGUUAGGCAAUCAUUAACCAAAAGAUCUUAAUACCACGUCAGGCUAGGAGCAAAGAUCGAAACGCCAUCUCUAACAGGCGGUUAUUUCUAAGCGCUUCUGCCAACACGGAAACAUGGAAGUCCUUUCUUGUCUUCUGGGUACUGUUUUUUGGUUUUAAAAAGAUAGCUCUCACCCGAUUAAGUGGCUAUAUGUCAAGUGUAUUGCAGAAAAAUGCCCAAAGUGAGAAGAGAUGGAUGUCCAAAGUCCACCCAGGGCCACCACCAGCUUGGAUCUGGGAAGCCCCAGAGCUCCAUAAUCAACUGCCCUUUCAGAAAACACACUACCUAAAUAAAGUCAGGAGAGAACUUGAUAUUCCUGUAUCCCAAAUACACAUGGGCAUUUAAAUGAGCGGCAUUUCCAAAUUCAUGCUUCAAUCACUAUUUUCCUAUGAUUCUGAUUUUUUAGUUUUGCCCUGCAAAUGACGAGGAAACAUUCUAGCACAGUUAACAGCAUCUAAAAAGGCUGCCCUUAAUCAUGGGACACAUUCUGAGACUCUCAGUGGCUACCUGAAACCUCAGCGAGUACAAAACACCCAAUGCACAAUGAACUUUCUCCUUUGCAUACAUUUGGAUGAUAAACUUCAAUUCAUAAAUUAGACUCACUAAGGGACUAAUAAUGAUUUAAAAAAAGAUUAUUAUUACCUAUUGGUUUAGGAUUGGAGUUCGUCUUCCCUUAGGAACAGUGCUUCUAAUGACUCUCGGGGAUCCAGGGCAUUCCACGGAGCUGACUUCACUCAUGAUGUGUGCACAAUGUUCUGUGAAGAGUUGUGAAGAGCAGGUGUGAAUCUGUGGUGCAAUGCGGGUCAGCAGUGGAGAAGCAUGCAAAGAAUGACCUUCAGCUGUCUAUAUGCAAAUGUAGGAAGGUUUAGUCACUAGGGCUGGGAAACUUCCUCAGUUUACUGAUGACUGUUCUUAGGAGAAGACAGAGACUUAAAAUGCAGAUGGAAUAUGUAUACCUACUCCAUAUAUACGGGAUCAACAACACUAUGGCUUGAAAGGUCAUCAGGGAGAGAGGGAACAGUGGUCAAAUUCCUCCAAGUCCAGCAGAAAGGGGUUGUGUUGGACAUACACCCUGCACCAGGAGAAACCAAUGGACCACAGGCCAACAGCUCUAUCUCCCCACGUCUGCCACUCUCUAAAGCCACUGCAAUUUCCGGCCAGUGACACAAAGCUUACCUACUGAAGAGGGACAGAGACGGCAUGAGGACACAUGGCAGAGAAAGAGAGAACAAAAUGCUGCUCUUGGAUGAUGGAGAAGGAAAUGACCAAAUGUGAACAGUUCGCUCCGUCAGAGGUGGUUUGUCCAGAGGCAGCAUCUUACUGGACCCACUGUGGACAUUCAGAGACCAGAAGAGCCAC